CUUAGCAUAUCAAUAAGCGGAGGAAAAAGAAACCCACCGGGAUUGCCCUAGUAACGGCGAGUGAAGCGGCAAGAGCUCAAAUUUGAAAGCUGGCUCCUUCGGGGUCCGCAUUGUAAUUUGCAGAGGAUGCUUCGGGAGCGGUCCCCAUCUAAGUGCCCUGGAACGGGCCGUCAUAGAGGGUGAGAAUCCCGUAUGGGAUGGGGUGCCCGCGCCCGUGUGAAGCUCCUUCGACGAGUCGAGUUGUUUGGGAAUGCAGCUCUAAUUGGGUGGUAAAUUUCAUCUAAAGCUAAAUAUUGGCCGGAGACCGAUAGCGCACAAGUAGAGUGAUCGAAAGAUGAAAAGCACUUUGAAAAGAGAGUUAAACAGCACGUGAAAUUGUUGAAAGGGAAGCGCUUGCGAUCAGACUCGCUCGCGGGGUUCAGCCGGCCUUCGGGCCGGUGUACUUCCCCGCGGGCGGGCCAGCGUCGGUUUGGGCGGCCGGUCAAAGGCCCCUGGAAUGUAACGCCUCUCGGGGCGUCUUAUAGCCAGGGGUGCCCUGCGGCCUGCCCGGACCGAGGAACGCGCUUUGGCUCGGACGCUGGCAUAAUGGUCGUAAGCGACCCGUCUUGAAACACGGACCAAGGAGUCUAACAUUUACGCGAGUGUUUGGGUGUCAAACCCGUGCGCGCAGUGAAAACGAACGGAGGUGGGAACCCCUCGGGGUGCACCAUCGACCGAUCCUGAUGUUUUUGGAUGGAUUUGAGUAAGAGCGUAGCUGUUGGGACCCGAAAGAUGGUGAACUAUGCCUGAAUAGGGGGAAGCCAGAGGAAACUCUGGUGGAGGCUCGCAGCGGUUUUGACGUGCAAAUCGAUCGUCAAAUUUGGGUAUAGGGGCGAAAGACUAAUCGAACCAUCUAGUAGCUGGUUCCUGCCGA
rnacentral:rRNA from 1 species